UACGUAGGGUGCAAGCGUUGUCCGGAAUUAUUGGGCGUAAAGAGCUCGUAGGCGGUCUGUCGCGUCUGGUGUGAAAAUCCAGGGCUUAACCCUGGACCUGCAUCGGGUACGGGCAGACUAGAGUGCGGUAGGGGAGAUCGGGAAUUCCUGGUGUAGCGGUGAAAUGCGCAGAUAUCAGGAGGAACACCGGUGGCGAAGGCGGAUCUCUGGGCCUUACCUGACGCUCAGGUGCGAAAGCUAGGGGAGCGAACAGG
rnacentral:rRNA from 1 species